UACGUAGGGUGCGAGCGUUGUCCGGAAUUACUGGGCGUAAAGAGCUCGUAGGUGGUUUGUCGCGUUGUUCGUGAAAACCGGGGGCUUAACCCUCGGCGUGCGGGCGAUACGGGCAGACUUGAGUACUGCAGGGGAGACUGGAAUUCCUGGUGUAGCGGUGGAAUGCGCAGAUAUCAGGAGGAACACCGGUGGCGAAGGCGGGUCUCUGGGCAGUAACUGACGCUGAGGAGCGAAAGCGUGGGGAGCGAACAUG
rnacentral:rRNA from 1 species